GACGAACGCUGGCGGCGUGCUUAACACAUGCAAAUCGAGCGGUAAGGCCCUUUCGGGGGUACACGAGCGGCGAACGGGUGAGUAACACGUGGGUGACCUGCCCUCAGCUCUGGGAUAAGCCUGGGAAACCGGGUCUAAUACCGGAUAUGACUCCAUGACGCAUGUUGUGGGGUGGAAAGCCUUGUGCGGCUGAGGAUGGGCCCGCGGCCUAUCAGCUUGUUGGUGGGGUNAUGGCCUACCAAGGCGACGACGGGUAGCCGGCCUGAGAGGGCGACCGGCCACACUGGGACUGAGACACGGCCCAGACUCCUACGGGAGGCAGCAGUGGGGAAUCUUGCGCAAUGGGCGAAAGGCUGACGCAGCGACGCCGCGUGUGGGAUG
rnacentral:rRNA from 1 species